rnacentral:lncRNA from 10 species
AUGAAGGGUCACAGGAGAUGGCUACACUCCCUUCUGGAACAUUCAGUGGGACUGUGCUGUCCGUGGAGUGCUCAGAGCUACAUGCAGUUAAUCACAGAAGGCUUACAGAGGAGAUGGGCCAGGCCAGAGUUAUUCUGAUUUUUUAGACACUGUGAUAUGAAGAAGUAGCUGUGAAUUCCUGGGCCAGGUGUUUUCAGUUUCAGUGCUGUGGAAAAGAAAGCUCCGAACAGGUCCAACCUACAUGCCCAAAGGAGCUUCUAGGACACAAGAAUUGCAUCGAUGAAAUUGAGACCAUAAUCAGUGUUAAGCUCCAGCUCAUUGGAAUUGUCGGUAUUGGAAUUGCAGGUCUGACGAUCUUUGGCAUGAUAUUCAGCAUGGUCCUCUGCUGUGCGAUACGAAACUCACGAGAUGUGAUAUGAAGCUACUUCUACAUGAAAAUUGCAAUCUAAAGCUUUCAUACCAAA